CCUACGGGAGGCAGCAGUGGGGAAUUUUGGACAAUGGGCGCAAGCCUGAUCCAGCUAUUCCGCGUGUGGGAAGACGGCCUUCUGGUUGUAAACCACUUUUUUAGAGAACGAAAAGUCUAUUGAUAAUACCGAUAUGUGAUUACGGUACGCUAAGAAUUAGCACCGGCUAACUACGUGCCAGCAGCCGCGGUAAUACGUAGGGUGCGAGCGUUAAUCGGAUUUAUUGGGCGUAAAGGGUGUGCAGGCGGUUUUGCAAGAUGGAUGUGAAAGCCCCGGGCUUAACCUGGGAAAGCCAGACAUGACUGGAAGACUAGAGUGCGUCAGAGGGGGGUGGAAUUCCAAGUGUAGCAGUGAAAUGCGUAGAUAUUUGGAAGAACACCGAUGGCGAAGGCAGCCCCCUGGGACGCAACUGACGCUCAUACACGAAAGCGUGGGGAGCAAACAGGAUUAGAUACCCGGGUAGUC
rnacentral:rRNA from 1 species